GACGAACGCUGGCGGCGUGCUUAACACAUGCAAGUCGAACGGAAAGGCCCUGCUUUUGUGGGGUGCUCGAGUGGCGAACGGGUGAGUAACACGUGAGUAACCUGCCCUUGACUUUGGGAUAACUUCAGGAAACUGGGGCUAAUACCGGAUAGGAGCUCCUGCUGCAUGGUGGGGGUUGGAAAGUUUCGGCGGUUGGGGAUGGACUCGCGACUUAUCAGCUUGUUGGUGGGGUAGUGGCUUACCAAGGCUUUGACGGGUAGCCGGCCUGAGAGGGUGACCGGCCACAUUGGGACUGAGAUACGGCCCAGACUCCUACGGGAGGCAGCAGUGGGGAAUAUUGCACAAUGGGCGGAAGCCUGAUGCGGCAACGCCGCGUGCGGGAUGACGGCCUUCGGGUUGUAAACCGCUUUCGCCUGUGACGAAGCGUGAGUGACGGUAAUGGGUAAAGAAGCACCGGCUAACUACGUG
rnacentral:rRNA from 1 species